rnacentral:rRNA from 1 species
CCUACGGGAGGCAGCAGUGAGGAAUAUUGGACAAUGGGCGCAAGCCUGAUCCAGCCAUGCCGCGUGCAGGAAGAAGCAUCUAUGGUGUGUAAACUGCUUUUGUACAGGAAGAAACACUCCCUCGUGAGGGAGCUUGACGGUACUGUAAGAAUAAGGACCGGCUAACUCCGUGCCAGCAGCCGCGGUAAUACGGAGGGUCCGAGCGUUAUCCGGAAUCAUUGGGUUUAAAGGGUCCGUAGGCGGUUUAAUAAGUCAGCGGUGAAAUCUGGUCGCUCAACGAUCAAACGGCCAUUGAUACUGUUAGACUUGAAUUAUAAGGAAGUAACUAGAAUAUGUAGUGUAGCGGUGAAAUGCUUAGAUAUUACAUGGAAUACCAAUUGCGAAGGCAGGUUACUACUUAUGGAUUGACGCUGAUGGACGAAAGCGUGGGGAGCGAACAGGAUUAGAUACCCUGGUAGUCCACGCCGUAAACGAUGGAUACUAGCUGUUCGGAGCAAUCUGAGUGGCUAAGCGAAAGUGAUAAGUAUCCCACCUGGGGAGUACGUUCGCAAGAAUGAAACUUAAAGGAAUUGACGGCUGAGAGNGCGAGACGACGACGAGGGAGGAGG